ACAAACUGUUCCUUUUUAUUCCGCAUACUGUUUAGCUGGUAUACCAAGCGGUGAAUAUGUUGUUGCAUGUUAGCUAUGGUCUUCUCAGCCUCUGUUGCCAAAUUUUCGACAGCGACAUUCUGUUGCUUCUGAUAUCCAAGCUCUUCCCUCAGAGAAAUAAUCUCGGCAUCACGUAAUUGGGCUCUUUCUAAUGCGCUUUUCUUCCUUGCCUAUUCCUUGCCCUUUGCAUUCUCCAGUCUCGAACGAAUACUAGAAAGCUCCUCGCCAUGGCUACUGAACGUUGCCUGCAAUCUUGCCACCUCGCGGUAAUGCAAAUCCUCCAGACGCUCGAUCGUUGCUAGGUAUUCGGUGAUAUCAUGUUUGUCCAUUGACAGAUCAGUGUCAUAAUGGGGGCGGAUUGAAGACACUGACGCCGACCGUCGCAAUGAUCGUGCCCCAUUUAGGGGACUGGAGGGAUAAUGCUGGCACGCUUGAUUCGUCUUGACAACCAAGUUUGAAGAUAGUGCAGGCAGGCUAAAUAGUUUGAGUAUUGGUGGAAUUUGUUUAGCCAG
rnacentral:sRNA from 1 species